UAGUAACGUACAUGAUAUUACGAGUUGCUCGGUUUUACAGUUUAGUACUCUACGGCGUUUGCCUGUCCAGCUAGCUUACAUAAAAGUACAUUGAUUCUCCCCUGAUCCUUUUCAAAUACGGUCAAAGAUGUUAACAUCAUGAGAGAAGAAAUAGCAGUCACUCUCCUCCAACACUGGGGUGAGGGUCAGAUUCGCGCUUAUCGUCCGAGGAAUGAGCAUUACAACGAGGCCUGUACUCUGGAGCGGGAUCGAUUUGUAGGCUGGCAGGUGUGUUUAGGGACAUAUUCAACCAAUCCCUAUCCAGUCUUGUCCCCACAUGCUUCAAGAUGACCACCAUUGUUCCUG